AGAGUCUCCAGCGCCUAGUCGUUGGGUAUACGGCGCGAUGUACAGAGCCGCGACACGCGACACGCAACUAGCAGCAGCAGCAGCAGCAGCACAAGUUGUGGCAGCAACACCACCAGCAGCAGCAGCAGCAGCAGCAGCAGCAGCAACACUUGCAACACCAGCAACACUUGCAGCAGCAGCAGCAGCAACACUAGCAACCGCAACAGCAACAGCAGCCGGAAGACCAAACGACCAUUGAGCCGCCCUUUUAAGCCGUUGCUCGCGACGCGAAAAAAAAAUUAUUUAAAAUCUAACCUAAUCUAAAAAAGAAAGAAAUCUCUUUCUCUCUAACUCCAACAAAACUAAAAAUCUUUUCGACUUACCAGCAUACUUUUUGAGGCGGAAAACGACACGAAUCACACCCCUAAUACAGCGCCAAAUGAGCUGGAAAUGUCCAAGUGGCCGGUGGCGAUGGUGAUGACGAUGAUGGUGGUUUUGGAUGGGCCAUCGAGGAAGCAACAACGGUGGCAAAUAAGCCAAAUUAACGAGAUCCCGGAUCCCAAAGGCAGGAGGCACAUCUCACUAGCAACCGAGGAACAAUGCCCUGAAAGAAAGCCAUUCAAAUCGCCCAAGUAAUCGGCAAAUAAUCGAGAGAAGUCGCUUCGUUUCGUUGAGGUUUUCGUUUCUUGCGAAAUUUCGGUUUCGGUUUCGCGAGUGCUAUCCUACCACUUCCGUUUCCGCUUUCGUGUAUGUGUGUGUGUGCCUACUCCUGUUUCUGUGUCUUGGUGUGAGAGCAGUUGGCCAGAUAUAUCUAUCUUUAUUUUUUUUGUUUUUUUUUUCUCCAUCCCCGCCGCCAAAAGUUAAAGUUCUGAAAACUAAACUAAAGAAUCGAGAUUAAAAAUGCAAAUUAGGCCG